GUAAUUUAGGUAUCCUAAUACAUCCAUUACUUGCACAGAGUUUCCAACGCAUCCUUCUCUUUGUGACAGCUGAAAAAGGAACUAGGGAAAGGGUGCACGUUUGACGGUUGGGUUGAAGGACCUAUCAUAUUCCUCGAACAUAUAAAUAUGAGUUUAACUCAGAAAAAUAUGUAGUGAUGCGAUGAAAUCUAGGAGAAGGACACCUCCAUGGUGUGACCACAUUCUCUCAUAUGGGAAGGGAACAAGGCUACUUUCCUACAACAAGGCGGAGCUUAUGUUAUCUGACCAUCGCCUCGUGACUGCAGUUUGAAUGGCAGACGUUGAAAUUUUCUGCCCCAGGAGAAGAUGCAAGUGUUGACGCCAAUGGGAGUUCCUACGACCUCUCAACGAAAUUGCAGUACGUAUGACCAAAGUGUCCCAUGAAUGUGGACUGUUUACUGUGCAAUACAAGAGUGGAAGAAACACGAGAACAUCUGGCAGAUUUCGUGAAUUAAGUUGUAGGCUAAACAUAAAUACAAGAUUUUUGUUGUGUACAAGAACACCUAUUCCAGGCACAAGAAAGGACCAGCCAGGCAAUGUGUCCAGUCGAAUCGGUGGGCAUGGUCGUUAGAUGAGGAGAUUUUGUAUUUCGGUUGGCUUGUUACUUGUUAGCUUCUUAGGUACUUUUGAUAACUGAUUACAGCAGUCGAUAGGUUGAGAGUUUGUUGCUUCAUUCAAACAUGCGUGUAUGAUUACACACAAGCUAAGCUCCUUUGUCGUGACACCUAUUACAGUUUCCAAGAAUAAUAUUGUACUUUACUUCA